rnacentral:rRNA from 1 species
AGCGAACGCUGGCGGCAGGCUUAACACAUGCAAGUCGAGCGCCCCGCCAGGGGAGCGGCAGACGGGAGAGUAACACGUGGGAACAUACCUUUUGGUUCGGAACAACUGAGGGAAACUUCAGCUAAUACCGGAUAAGCCCUUACGGGGAAAGAUUUAUCGCCGAAAGAUUGGCCCGCGUCUGAUUAGCUAGUUGGUGAGGUAACGGCUCACCAAGGCGACGAUCAGUAGCUGGUCUGAGAGGAUGAUCAGCCUCACUGGGUCUGAGACACGGCCCAGACUCCUACGGGAGGCAGCAGUGGGGAAUAUUGGACAAUGGGGGCAACCCUGAUCCAGCCAUGCCGCGUGAGUGAUGAAGGCCUUAGGGUUGUAAAGCUCUUUUGCCCGGGAAGAUAAUGACGGUACCGGGAGAAUAAGCCCCGGCUAACUUCGU